UCAGCGAUGGCCUUUAUAUCCUGGGCUACACUACACGCUACGAAUGGCCAGCACAGUAGGUUGCUAAGCCGCGAGGUGGAGCCAAUCCAUAAAGCUGGUCUACAGUUCAGAUUGCAGGCUGCAACCCGCCUGCAUGAAGAUGGAGUUGCUAGUAACCGCAGGUCAGCUAUACUGCGGUGAAUACGUUCCCGGGGCUU
rnacentral:rRNA from 1 species